CGCGAAGAACCUUACCUACUCUUGACAUCCAGAGAACUUUUCAGAGAUGAAUUGGUGCCUUCGGGAACUCUGAGACAGGUGCUGCAUGGCUGUCGUCAGCUCGUGUUGUGAAAUGUUGGGUUAAGUCCCGCAACGAGCGCAACCCUUAUCCUUACUUGCCAGCGGGUAAUGCCGGGAACUUUAGGGAGACUGCCGGUGAUAAACCGGAGGAAGGUGGGGACGACGUCAAGUCAUCAUGGCCCUUACGAGUAGGGCUACACACGUGCUACAAUGGUCGGUACAGAGGGUUGCRAAGCCGCGAGGUGGAGCUAAUCUCACAAAGCCGGUCGUAGUCCGGAUUGGAGUCUGCAACUCGACUCCAUGAAGUCGGAAU
rnacentral:rRNA from 1 species